UUUGGCGUCAUUUAUGAGUUAUUCUGGCGUUGGUGCAAGGAUGGCCAAAGGCAAAGAGUGGGGCUUCCAUGGACCGACAGGAGAAGGUGGUGAGAUUGGUUGGGUGUUGGCCAAGAUCUGAGGAAGGUCUCAUUAACUGGCUAAGCUGGAGCGUCACCACGCACUUUCCCACGCGAAGGAAGGGUAGGUGGUGUCAUUCCCUUUCAGACCUUCCAUUAUAUUGCUCGGU
rnacentral:lncRNA from 1 species